GAUCCUGGCUCAGGAUGAACGCUAGCGACAGGCUAACACAUGCAGUCGAGGGGCAGCACGGAGUAGCAAUACUUGGUGGCGACCGGCGCACGGGUGAGUAACGCGUAUGCAACCUACCUAUCAGAGGGGAAUAACCCGGCGAAAGUCGGACUAAUACCGCAUAAAACAGGGGCACCGCAUGGUGAUAUUUGUUAAAGAAAUUCGCUGAUAGAUGGGCAUGCGUUCCAUUAGGUAGUUGGUGAGGUAACGGCUCACCAAGCCGACGAUGGAUAGGGAACUGAGAGGUUGGUCCCCCACACUGGUACUGAGACACGGACCAGACUCCUACGGGAGGCAGCAGUGAGGAAUAUUGGUCAAUGGGCGGGAGCCUGAACCAGCCAAGUCGCGUGAAGGAAGAAGGAUCUAUGGUUCGUAAACUUCUUUUGCAGGGGAAUAAAGUGCAGGACGUGUCCUGUUUUGUAUGUACCCUGAGAAUAAGGAUCGGCUAACUCCGUGCCAGCAGCGGC
rnacentral:rRNA from 1 species